rnacentral:rRNA from 1 species
UACGGAGGGAGCUAGCGUUGUUCGGAAUUACUGGGCGUAAAGCGCGCGUAGGCGGCUUUGUAAGUUAGAGGUGAAAGCCCGGAGCUCAACUCCGGAACUGCCUUUAAAACUGCAUCGCUUGAAUCCAGGAGAGGUGAGUGGAAUUCCGAGUGUAGAGGUGAAAUUCGUAGAUAUUCGGAAGAACACCAGUGGCGAAGGCGGCACACUGGACUGGUAUUGACGCUGAGGUGCGAAAGCGUGGGGAGCAAACAGG